AGUGAACGCUGGCGGUAGGCCUAACACAUGCAAGUCGAACGGCAGCACAGAGGAGCUUGCUCCUUGGGUGGCGAGUGGCGGACGGGUGAAGAAUACAUCGGAAUCUACUCUGUCGUGGGGGAUAACGUAGGGAAACUUACGCUAAUACCGCAUACGACCUACGGGUGAAAGCAGGGGAUCUUCGGACUUUGCGCGAUUGAAUGAGCCGAUGUCGGAUUAGCUAGUUGGCGGGGUAAAGGCCCACCAAGGCGACGAUCCGUAGCUGGUCUGAGGAGGAGGAUCAGCCACACUGGAGAUGGGACACGGGCCAGACUCCGACGGGAGGCAGCAGUGGGGAAUAUUGGACAAUGGGCGCAAGCCUGAUCCAGCCAUACCGCGUGGGUGAAGAAGGCCUUCGGGUUGUAAAGCCCUUUUGUUGGGAAAGAAAUUCAUCUGGUUAAUACCCGGGUGGGAUGACGGUACCCAAAGAAUAAGCACCGGCUAACUUCGUGCCAGCCGCCGCCGUAA
rnacentral:rRNA from 1 species